GAUGAAAGAGUGUAGAUGCUGGUUAACUCUUGCAUAAGGGAUUUGGACAGUGUAGGGAAGAAAUAGUGAGAAUGCUUGUUGACGCUUGGGUAAGGGAUUUGGAUAGCUCAGGGAUGAAAGAGUGUAGAUGCUGGUUAACUCUUGCAUAAGGGAUUUGGACAGCACAGGGAUGAAAGAGUGAAGAUGGUGGUUAACUCUUGCAUAAGGGAUUUGGACAGCACAGGGAUGAAAGAGUGAAGAUGCUGGUUAACUCUUGCAUAAGGGAUUUGGACAGCACAGGGAUGAAAGAGUGAAGAUGCUGGUUAACUCUUACAUAAGGGAUUUGGACAGCACAGGGAUGAAAGAGUGGAUAUGCUGGUUAACUCUUGCAUAAGGGAUUUGGACAGCACAGGAAUGAAAGAGUGAAGAUGCUGGUUAACUCUUGCAUAAGGGAUUUGGGCAGCACAGGGAUGAAAGAGUGAAGAUGCUGGUUAACUCUUGCAUAAGGGAUUUGGACAGCACAGGGAUGAAAGAGUGAAGAUGCUGGUUAACUCUUGCAUAAGGGAUUUGGACAGCACAGGGAUGAAAGAGUGAAGAUGCUGGUUAACUCUUGCAUAAGGGAUUUGGGCAGCACAGGGAUGAAAGAGUGAAGAUGCUGGUUAGCUCUUGCAUAAGGGAUUUGGACAGCACAGGGAUGAAAGAGUGAAGAUGCUGGUUAACUCUUGCAUAAGGGAUUUGGGCAGCACAGGGAUGAAAGAGUGAAAAUGCUGGUUAACUCUUGCAUAAGGGAUUUGGACAGCACAGGGAUGAAAGAGUGAAGAUGCUGGUUAACUCUUGCAUAAGGGAUUUGGGCAGCACAGGGAUGAAAGAGUGAAGGUGCUGGUUAACUCUUGCAUAAGGGAUUUGGACAGCACAGGGAUGAAAGAGUGAAGAUGCUGGUUAACUCUUGCAUAAGGGAUUUGGACAGCACAGGGAUGAAAGAGUGAAGAUGCUGGUUAACUCUUGCAUAAGGGAUUUGGACAGCACAGGGAUGAAAGAGUGAAGAUGCUGGUUAACUCUUGCAUAAGGGAUUUGGACAGCACAGGGAUGAAAGAGUGAAGAUGCUGGUUAACUCUUGCAUAAGGGAUUUGGACAACACAGGGAUGAAAGAGUGAAGAUGCUGGUUAACUCUUGCAGAAGGGAUUUGGACAGCACAGGGAUGAAAGAGUGAAGAUGCUGGUUAACUCUUGCAUAAGGGAUUUGGACAGCACAGGGAUGAAAGAGUGAAGAUGCUGGUUAACUCUUGCAUAAGGGAUUUGGACAGCACAGGGAUGAAAGAGUGUAGAUGCUGGUUAACUCUUGCAUAAGGGAUUUGGACAGCACAGGGAUGAAAGA